rnacentral:rRNA from 1 species
CCUACGUGAGGCAGCAGUGAGGAAUAUUGGUCAAUGGGCGCGAGCCUGAACCAGCCAAGUAGCGUGAAGGAUGACUGCCCUACGGGUUGUAAACUUCUUUUAUAAAGGAAUAAAGUGAGGCACGUGUGCCUUUUUGUAUGUACUUUAUGAAUAAGGAUCGGCUAACUCCGUGCCAGCAGCCGCGGUAAUACGGAGGAUCCGAGCGUUAUCCGGAUUUAUUGGGUUUAAAGGGAGCGUAGAUGGGUUGUUAAGUCAGUUGUGAAAGUUUGCGGCUCAACCGUAAAAUUGCAAUUGAUACUGGCAGUCUUGAGUACAGUUGAGGUAGGCGGAAUUCGUGGUGUAGCGGUGAAAUGCUUAGAUAUCACGAAGAACUCCGAUUGCGAAGGCAGCUUACUAAACUGCCACUGACAUUGAUGCUCGAAAGUGUGGGUAUCAAACAGGAUUAGAUAUCCUUGUAGUC